rnacentral:rRNA from 1 species
CCUUCAUGAAGCCGGAAUUGCUAGUAAUGGCAGGUCAGCAUACUGCCGUGAAUACGUUCCCGGGCCUUGUACACACCGCCCGUCACACCAUGGGAGUUUGUAACGCCCAAAGUCGGUGGCCUAACCUUUAUGGAGGGAGCCGCCUAAGGCGGGACAGAUGACUGGGGUGAAGUCGUAACAAGGUAAC